CGGCACGCCUAACACAUGCAAGUCGAACGAAGUAGCAAUACUUAGUGGCAGACGGGUGAGUAACAUGUAGGUAUCUACCCUUUGGCCUGGAAUAACACGAGGAAACUUGUGCUAAUACUGGAUAAGUCUUUACGGAGAAAGCUUUAUGCACCAAUGGAUGAGCCUGCACUUGAUUAGUUAGUUGGUAAGGUAAUAGCUUACCAAGACUUUGAUCAAUAGCUGAUUUGAGAGGAUGAUCAGCCACAUUGGGACUGAGACACGGCCCAAACUCCUACGGGAGGCAGCAGUGGGGAAUCUUGCACAAUGGAGGAAACUCUGAUGCAGCGAUGCCGCGUGAGUGAAGAAGGCCUUUGGGUUGUAAAGCUCUUUCGUCGGGGAAGAAAAUGACUGUACCCGAAUAAGAAGGUCCGGCUAACUUCGUGCCAGCAGCCGCGGUAAUACGAAGGGACCUAGCGUAGUUCGGAAUUACUGGGCUUAAAGAGUUCGUAGGUGGUUGAAAAAGUUGGUGGUGAAAUCCCAGAGCUUAACUCUGGAACUGCCAUCAAAACUUUUCAGCUAGAGUAUGAUAGAGGAAAGCAGAAUUUCUAGUGUAGAGGUGAAAUUCGUAGAUAUUAGAAAGAAUACCAAUUGCGAAGGCAGCUUUCUGGAUCAUUACUGACACUGAGGAACGAAAGCAUGGGUAGCGAAGAGGAUUAGAUACCCUCGUAGUCCAUGCCGUAAACGAUGUGUGUUAGACGUUGGAAAUUUAUUUUCAGUGUCGCAGUGAAAACGAUAAACACACCGCCUGGGGAGUACGACC
rnacentral:rRNA from 1 species